rnacentral:sRNA from 2 species
UGGGAAAAGUCGCCUAAUUCAAUUCAGUUCUGUGGUUGAGGAAUCUAAGUAACUGGGUUAGAAGCGGAGGAACCAAUGUAUUGGGGCGAAUCUUUGGAUAGAGAAAGGCACCUUCCAGCCUUAGCCCGUCAGCUAACUCCGUCGGCAUUGGAAGGAGUAUCA